rnacentral:rRNA from 1 species
UCCGUAGGGUAACCUGCGGAGG